CAGCCGCCGCGGUAAAACCAGCACCUCAAGUGGUCAGGAUGAUUAUUGGGCCUAAAGCAUCCGUAGCCGGCUCUGUAAGUUUUCGGUUAAAUCUGUACGCUCAACGUACAGGCUGCCGGGAAUACUGCAGAGCUAGGGAGCGGGAGAGGUAGACGGUACUCGGUAGGAAGGGGUAAAAUCCUUUGAUCUAUUGAUGACCACCUGUGGCGAAGGCGGUCUACCAGAACACGUCCGACGGUGAGGGAUGAAAGCUGGGGGAGCAAACCGGAUUAGAUACCCGGGUAGUCCCAGCUGUAAACUAUGCAAACUCAGUGAUGCAUUGGCUUGUGGCCAAUGCAGUGCUGCAGGGAAGCCGUUAAGCAUGCCGCCUGGGAAGUACGAUCGCAAGGUUGAAACUUAAAGGAAUUGGCGGGGGAGCAC
rnacentral:rRNA from 2 species